AUGCAGCGCAGUAAAGCCGCUGUGAGCGUGGAAGUGAAGCAAGUCAUUGGAGCUUUGUGCAGACUACUAGCGGCUACUGGCCUGGAAGCUGUCCCCACACCGGAGAUAUUCAGGCUGGCCAAAUUCGGUGGUGGAGCCGAGGUGGAGGAUCAGUUUUGGCAGCUCAUCGCCAACGUCCUUCAGAAAGCUAACAUAGUUUCCUGUGAAGCUAGGGCAAAGCUAGGAGGAGCCUCACAGCACAGGAAGCUGACAGUUGCAGGCCUCUGGCAGACUAGCUACCAUGCUGACUGGAUGUAUGGGAGGGAGGGAGGAGAAGGAGGGAGAUUGUCUAGCAGAGACCUCCUCAUGGCGCUUGCCUGGCUGCUCGCUACAGGAACACUGGAGAGACUGCUGACACAGAGAAUACAGCAAUUGGACAAAACACUCCUCACACGUAUGUCUAUGAACACUCAACUUUCCAAUGAGCUCCAGUUAGACCCAGCAUCGCUGAAGACACUUCAGUGGCUCAUUGGCAGUCUCAGGCACCAGGGGCGGACGCUGCUUUCCAUUCAAGAAGAGCGAACUGGCCUGCUCCAUUCUGACUGUGUAUGUAUGUGUCAGCUCUGUGACCUCCUAGAAGCAUAUGUGAACUGGAGACAGGUAGAGAAAGUCUUCUGGACCUGGAUGGACAGUGUGGUGGACUGCUGUCUGACGGAUACUGUUGUCAAGAGGUCUACAAAAUCUCCUAAUGGCAGCUCAGGAGUGUGUCACCAUGGAAUCUGGGGGCUAGAGAAAUUAGACGAUAUGCUGUUGAGACUGCCCACGGGACAGAUGUUCUACACACGCAAGGUGUUCUUUUUUCACAGGGUUCAUUGCCUAGUGGUUUUGAGAAAUGCUGUUUAAAUUGAUGGUGAAUUAAAAAGCACCAACAAUACUGUACUGAAUAAAACUGAGGUAAAUCAAACAUUUAAAAAAAGUUAUUUUGUGUAUGUGUUUAGAUCAACUCAGCAGAAAGACUGGAAGCAGGUGGCUUUGUCAAGAGUUCUAAAAUCAUCUAGCAGUAAAUCUAAAUCUCACUAAUAAACAUGUUUGAUCAUGUCCCCAAUAGAUUAUUGCAGGGCUACAGCAAAUUCUUGAAAAAUAAUGGGUUAUCCAUUCUCAAAAACACAGCCAAAACACUCAUCAAUCAGAGAGAAGCUAGCAAAAACAGACUUUCCCUAUAGAAAAAAAACUAACUUCCAGAGGACUUUGCAUUGUAAAUGUUUUUAGUUGAGCAUUUACAAAAUAAACAAACAUUUUUCAUUCCUUUGAUACUAUCUCAGCCUGCUGGCUUACAUCAAUUUGUCACUGUGCUCACUUCUUUAAAUCCAAGGUUAAUAAGGUUUUUUCCAAAAAUCUUGAUCAUGCAAUUGUAGGUAAUUAUGGUCAAUCAUAUUACUAUAAUAGUGUCUUCCAGAUCUCCACUUUCUGGAUCCCAAGGCCAUAGAGGUAGAUGUUGGUAUUGAGCCAUGCUAAGAGCUUCUCCUCUGCCCCCAGUGUAUGUGCUAUAAUAGGCUAAGCAAAUCCUAGCUCUGCAUUUAACACAUGAGAUGAGACUGGUAUCAAUUCUGUCAUUUCACUCUUGCAAAGUAAGCAUCUAAACUUUCUUGUCAAAAUAAUAAAGUGUUCCUGGACCAACACUUGCACGCUAGUGUCAAUCUUGAAACGCUUGUAUGCCCAGAUUUGAUUUUCAACUCUGCAUAUGAACAGAAUAUGAAUGUCUCUCUUAUUCAUGAAUGAUUCCGUUAUUUUAUCAGCGUGUUCCGUACAGUGUCGGAACAAUACCCUACUUAAGAUUAAAGCAAUAAUGCAUUUAUUACAUUAUAUUUCCUUGAUGUUAGGUGACACUGGGUGUGCAGUUAGCUACCAUUUACGUAUGGUGCAGUCGAGUAAUAUCAUGUUAUUGCAAUCAUACCUGAAUUUUACCAUUGAAAAAAAACUUGGCAAAAAAUUGUAUGCAAAUAAGGAACUGCUUGAAUAAAUAAUGACUAAACGUGAUUACAAAUCUGAACAACAAAAAGUAUUAAAGUUUGAUGCCAAAUAAGAAAAUUGCAGUAUGAAGACAGAACCCACUUUGUAAUACACUGACUGUAGUGUUCCACAGUCUCUAAUUCAUAAUGUUUAUAUUCCUUUGUUUGAUUUUCUUGUCUGAAUCCCUUUCAUCUUCUGUCACAGAAAGGACAGAGCAGAGGCAGAGGGGAUGCUGAGAACAGAGGAGAAGGAGGAGAGAGGUUGCAGGGGGGUCCGUGCACCUCCGCCCUCCCUCCUGUUCUCUCUUCCCUUCCAUCCCUGCCCUCCAUCCCUCAGGUCUACAGAGCCAGGCUCCUAACUGAGAGGUCAGUCAAACUCAGGCACCACCCAGCAGAGAGGCUCCACGCCGGGGCUAGGGCUCCUGAUAAGCUUUCAUCGUCUGAUGCCACACAGCUGCUCCUUCAAAUAGAGGCUCUGUUGCUGAACAGGAGGGACAGGCAGAGACUCGCCAAUAGGAUGCAGCUGCAAGAGAUGGUUGGCAGGCUGGAUGAACUGGUGUUGAUUCCACCGUAGACUUUUUUUAAUUGUGGCAUCAGUAUGUAAGAAGACCACUGUGAGUGUGAUGGAAGUGUUCUGCUCUUCCAGAAUGUAACGUAUUAGUUCCGAAAUUUGCCAAGAAUGUAUUUGACCUUUGGAUGGAAACCAGAUUUUUUUUUUUGCAGUUUUACUUUAAAAAAGAAAUACGCUUUCAACAGGUUUAGUUUGAUGAUGGUAAAUAUUUCUAUUAACCUUUAUAGGUCAUUAACUAACAAAGACGACAAAGUCAGUUGAGCGCUUCAGAAACAGAAGAGACAAAAGACACCCGACAAAUCAGAAAAAAACUAUUUAAAACAAAUAACUAAUUCAUAAUAUAUGUAAACUGUCCUCACUGUUAACAGAAACAUUAAAACAAGGCUAGGUCAAAACCUAUUAUAUGGCUGGACCGUUACUGGUCAAGAGGCAAAAAUGUGGCCAAUUUAAGGUAGUCAGUGGUAGAGUUUGCUAUUAAUUUGGGGAUAUUAAAUCCUCAUAUGCAAAAAAAUACAGAAUAGUUAGUUAGUGUAGGGAAAUUUAGGAAUAAGUUAAGUUGUUAUUGCAUUCACAAGUUACAUUCAUAGAUGUCUUUUUUUUUUAUCUUUAUAUUUUACUUAUUAUUAACAUAGCUGUAGCCUCAAAACAAGCAUGCUGAGCCCUACUGAUUGUUUUCCUUAAUGUAAUUUAAAAAAUUCAAGUUUAACCUUUUCCAAUUUUGAGUUACACCUUUCAUGCUUCCCUUGUCUUAUUUCCAUUACCAUUCACAAUUUCAUCUCUACAAAUGCUUUUCAAAUUCCAUUUUAGCUUUUGCAUUUUAAAUUAUUGUGUUGUGCGACCCAUAGAUCUUGUGCAUUAACUUUAGGUUUAGGACCCAACUAACGUGGAUGGGAAUAAAGUUGUGUGGCUCUAGACUUUCCAAAUUAUAUUGGAUCGCAUUGCUCAAAUUCUGACAGUGAAAUUUGUAAUUUCUCAGGGGUUUUGAUGCUCAAAAAUUAGUAUCAACUGUUUUAUAUCCUGCUCUUUCACAAUGCAAGCUUAUGGGAAAAAGGGGCCUUGGCCAACGUGACGAUGUAAUUACACAGUUUGGCACUAUGAAAAGCUGGCUUCAAUGCCUGGUGCUCUUCCUGGGGUCUUUGGUUGGCGCCCCUGUUGCAGUCCAGCCAAUUAUGGUGUGGACAUUUUGCAAUGAAUGUAACAGAAUAAAUUCUACAUCACAAACAUUACAGCUAAUAUGAACAAGGUAAGCAAAAGCUAUUGUAGAUUUCUGAAAUGAAUAAAUCAUAUUCUCAUGUCCUCAGAGCUUGUAUGAGUAUUUGAGAAAUGUAUUAUAUGAAACUACCUUAGAAAAAAAAAAGUUUAUGAAUAUAUUUAAAAAUAUUUUAAGAUGUACUCCAACAGUUUAGAAAAAAUGACAUGUGUUGUUAGAGGGACUUACACAUGCACCACAUCCACCAUGACUUACUAUAGCUUGGGUUUCUACAGGCUGACCUCACAUUGUCCCACUGACUUCAGAAGCUGUGCUGAGUCACUGCACCGGAAGAAGUUCCAGCUCCUUAAACCAACGGCUUUAGGAGUGUUG
ensembl:lncRNA